rnacentral:rRNA from 1 species
CCUACGGGAGGCAGCAGUGAGGAAUUUUGGUCAAUGGCCGGAAGGCUGAACCAGCCAUGCCGCGUGAAGGUCAGUGCCCUAUGGGCGUUAAACUUCUUUUGUGCGGGAGCAAUAAUGGUCACGUGUGGCCAGACGAGAGUACCGUACGAAUAAGCAUCGGCUAACUCCGUGCCAGCAGCCGCGGUAAUACGGGGGAUGCAAGCGUUAUCCGGAUUUAUUGGGGUUAAAGGGUGCGUAGGCUGUGAGGUAAGUCAGCGGUGAAAUGCCCCCGCUCAACGGGGUGAAGUGCCAUUGAUACUGCCUUGCUGGAAUGCGGAUGCCGUGGGAGGAAUGUGUGGUGUAGCGGUGAAAUGCAUAGAUAUCACACAGAACACCGAUUGCGAAGGCAUCUCACGAAUCCGCGAUUGACGCUGAUGCACGAAAGCGUGGGUAUCAAACAGGAUUAGAUACCCCAGUAGUC